CCUACGGGUGGCAGCAGUCGAGAAUCAUUCACAAUGGGGGAAACCCUGAUGGUGCGACGCCGCGUGGGGGAAUGAAGGUCUUCGGAUUGUAAACCCCUGUCAUGUGGGAGCAAAUUAAAAAGAUAGUACCACAAGAGGAAGAGACGGCUAACUCUGUGCCAGCAGCCGCGGUAAUACAGAGGUCUCAAGCGUUGUUCGGAAUCACUGGGCGUAAGGCGUGCGUAGGCUGUUUCGUAAGUCGUGUGUGAAAGGCGCGGGCUCAAGCCGCGGACGGCACAUGAUACUGCGAGACUAGAGUAAUGGAGGGGGAACCGGAAUUCUCGGUGUAGCAGUGAAAUGCGUAGAUAUCGAGAGGAACACUCGUGGCGAGGCGGGUUCCUGGACAUUAACUGACGCUGAGGCACGAAGGCCAGGGGAGCGAAAGGGAUUAGAUACCCCGGUAGUC
rnacentral:rRNA from 1 species